ensembl:processed_transcript
CGUCGCAGUCCCGCCCCCAGUCCACAGCAGACCCAGAUUCUGCAGGGCUCCCCGGUGCGGAUCUCUGCAGUCUUGUUUCUUUCUUUUGUCCUUGGUCGCCGUUGUGGAGUAAAGUUGCGAGCUGAGGCAACCAAAACGCACAUCCCUCGCACACCCUCCCUGGACUGUCUAGACACCACUUCCCACCUAGAAGGAAAGGGCAAUUGGGAUGGCUGUCACUACAAACGCCAUCUUUCACGUGGGCGGAACUCGUCUCUGCUUGACGCGCCGCGGUUCCCUCGUGGGACUCCGCACCUAAGCAUAACUUAUCUGAGAGACUCCACGAGCAACUGAUGGAAAUAGAUGCAGAGACCCACAGCCAAACAUUAUGUGGAGCUUGGGCAACUCUACAUACAGAAGAGGGGAGAGAAGAAUUGAAGGA